AUUUUUUGUUUCCUCAUGUCAACAUUCGUAAACAUUAUCUUCAACCUCUUCCUUGGGUAUCGUACUCUGUGUGUUUUGUAUGUAUGAACUGAAAUUAUUACUUAGAUCCCGAGUUUGAAUGUUGUUGCAGAUCCAGUUUGCAGAUCAGCUCAAAUCUUUCCUGUAUCACCCCUUACCCGCCUAGUAUUGAACAGGUCGGAACGACGCAUGAAAAGCAUCGACUAGAUCAAUUUCGUCAUUUUUGUUGCAUAUGUCCGGAAGAAGUUGGUCAGCAAUAGCAUCUCUGGCAGUAAUAAGAAAUUCUCAGAGAAACUUCCGGUAAUCUUCGAUGGGUGUGCAUGACAGUUUAUCGCUAUCGAACAUUGUACUCUCGAAGCAGAAAAGCGUUUUCAACAGCGAAUAUAGCACUGAGGAAAUAAGUUCUGUGGAUCAGUUAAUGAUUGCGGGUGAGCUUCCUUCACGAAGUAAACAUGCGCGGCGGAGUGAAAAACACAAAACCGGGACAAUGGCAGAUCCCAUUUCCGCGUCAAGGUAACCGAUUCGUUCACUAUCGAACUGUUGCGCAUUCGUUUCAACUUGUUCGCAUUGCCUUUUACUGAUGUGGGAAAAGUGAAGGUGCCUUCUUACGCUGAUGCGGGAAUCCAGAUAAAGUUUAAAGAAAGGUAUGUGAUUCUGUGGCCCACAAUCGGCUAAUCUAUGCUGGGUGAUUGCAAUGAAAAAACAUUAGAGACCUCUUCAACGUAACUAUGCCAACGUUACAUCACUUUCACGCCCUUUUACUGAAUGGCAUAUACUAAUGGAGGAAUGAAACAGGAAUAUAUACAUUGACUAUAACACAAUAAUGUGUCAAUUGAAAAAUAAGGCAACGACCAGGUGUAGGUGUACCAGGUACACCUACCGUAUACAUCUAUACGGUGGUGAUAGGCUGUGCUAUUAGCGAGGAGGAAAAACGCAACUACGAAUCAUAUCAUGUUUCGGCGGCAAAGUUCAGCCUACGGUACGACCGAAUAGUUUUAUUCAUAAACAUGUUUGAUCAAUGUCAACGGCACACCUGCCAGCUCCCUACAAGCUGAAUGAUACCCAAGAUAUCGACUUCAUAAUCCGUGUUGUUUUGUAGUCAAGUUUAAUUUUUUUAAAUAUUGUUUAAAUAAGUAUUUAAAAAUACAGGAAAAAUAAAGAUAUAGAGGGAAGAA